rnacentral:rRNA from 1 species
UACAUGGGGUGCAAACGUUGCUCGGAAUUAUUGGGCGUAAAGCGCACGUAGGUGGUUCGUUAUGUCGGAUGUGAAAGCCCUCGGCUCAACUGAGGAAGCGCAUCCGAAACUGGCGAGCUAGAGUAUGUAAGAGGGUCGCGGAAUUCCCGGUGUAGAGGUGAAAUUCGUAGAUAUCGGGAGGAACACCGGUGGCGAAGGCGGCGACCUGGGACAAUACUGACACUGAGGUGCGAAAGCGUGGGGAGCAAACAGG